rnacentral:lncRNA from 1 species
AUGUCAUCCCUGAGGAUUGAGAACCUGGCCCCUGAGGACAGCGGGCAGUAUUUUGCCAACAUCACCUCUACUAAGGGAGAGGGGAUUUUCCAGGUUUUCUACCUCACUGUCUAUGAGCCUGUGCCUCACCCUGAGUUCCUGGCAAAGUCACUGUCUAUCACACCAGACCUGUGUAACGUCACCCUGGAGUGUAGGGCUCCAGGGGCCACAGAAGACCUGAAUGUGACUUGGGAGAGCAAGGGCCUCCUCAGAGAGCUGGAGCAGAGAGAAACACCAGGACCAGCCCCCAACCCCUGGACACUGGCUGUGAACCUGCCCCUGUGCCAGUGCAACACCCACCUCACCUGUGUGGUCAGCAACCAGGUGGAUCAGAAAGCUGCAAUCUUAGACCUUAGGAAAGUCUGUGUCCAAGAAACAGGUUCACACAACAUGGUUAGACUGCUCCCAGGCAUCCUAGGGGCUGUUGUGGGUAUGCUGUUGGUCCUGGGAACUGGGCUGUAUCUUUUGAAGACAUGUGGGAAGAAGAAGAAGAUGAUGAAUAUAGGAAGAGGUAGAGAAUGGCAGGAGAACCAUGGGGUCGAUGAUGGUGUCAACCAAUAUGAAGAUCUCAGGCAGCAAGUGUUUCCGAAGGGCAAGGACAAGGGCAUCGGUGAACAAUAUCUGGAAAAAAGGGAGUCUCUCACUCCUAUCUACAGUGAGGUUCAUUAUCAUUGUCCAGGCCAGGCCAUUAAGAUCAUUCAAUUGGAGGAAGCAACAGGAUCUGGCACUCCCAGGACACCUGUACUCUGAGCCUGAAGCCUGCAGAUCCCCGCCUUUCCCAGUGCUGGUUCAGUUUCCGCUGCCCCUAGUCUGUGUUACUCUGAUCUCAUAGCCACAGUUCUACAGUGUACACAUGGCCUAUUCGCAUUCUGUGACACCUCCCAAAGAUGCAUUUACACUUGGGCAAAGAUUCUUCCCUUGUCAUUGACAUUGCUCCUGACCCCUCUCUUUCAGAAGCCUUCCCAAGGGGACCCUGUCUGAUUGCACAGGUGGCAAAUCCCCACCACCUCUGCCAUGUCACUUGUGUGUGUAAUUCUGAGGACACAAGCCCAGACAUGGGAACUGUGCAGAGGUGUUGACUGUGCUGCAGAGGAGGGACAUAGACCUGGCUUCUGGAUGCUCAGUUGGAGGAUAUCGUGGGUGGGUAGAAGCCCACAAAGGAACACGCUGAGGCUUCCUUUGCAGAUUUUGUGUAGGGCUCCCUUGCGGGUACCAGGCAGUGCGUGUGUGCAUGCAGGUUGGUGGUGGAGGGGGGUGUCUAGUGCACAUUAUACAACUGAACCAAAGCCACCUUUCUUUUCUUCUGUGCUAAUCUGAACUUAAUCUUCAGCCUCAGCCUGUGGAUCCAAACUCAACUUCCUGUAGAGUGGAAAGAGAAAUUUUUAUCAUCUCAAAACCUUCCUAGCCUCGGUGUCUCAGAGAAUGACCCUAAGAGGCCACAGUUGGAGGCUGUCUUAGGAACACAGCCUCAGCUCUUUCCUUGGCCUAGUAUAAGGCACUUGGCUGUAAGAACAGAAGUGUGAUAUCCUUCCACACCCACUUGAUGAGGGCUACUUGCGCUCUGAUGGGUGAAGCUGUUGAGAAGGUCUGACUCAGCCCUCUCCGACCUCUUCUUAUUCUGACCCUUAAUACCCCAGUAGCCAUGCUGGCCCCAAACCCUAGGUCAUCCACUUCUUUGCUCACUUGCAUCCCUCUGCCUGACAUGAAAGUUCCUUCUCCCUGUUCCUCACCCUCACUCCCGCCUGUUGAAAUACUACUGUGCUGCUCAAAGCUCUUCCCAAGAUGCUUGUUCCAUGGAGCUCUCUGGAUCUUAAAGGUUUAGACAUGAUCUCUCCCACAACUGACUUUUCUGAACACCUUGGACACUAUGUACGGUCCCUGCCACAGUUUGUCCUGGGAUGGUCAUGAGUCUUCCUGCAGGACUAACCUGGGCUCUCUCAGGAGGAUGUGGGGCUGUGGGGUAAUAGGGCUGAGGAGACAAGUACUUAUUGGUGCAAAUGGUCUGGGCCACCUUGUUCCCAACCCAUGGGGUCAGCAGAGGGAGAUGCAGCACAGGGGCUACUGACGAACUCUCUGGUGUGGCUCUACCUGGAAACAGGGAUGGACACAAUGACCUCCCUUGACUAUGCGUGGCCUGAGUUCCUAAUUGGAGACUUCCUUACUCCCUCAUCCACCUCUUAUUGCGAACCUGGCCAUUCUUCCAUCAUGGUAUGUGGGUGUUUCUUUCCUCCUGAGGGGUCCUCAGCUUCUUGCAGCCUCUGCUUCUUAUUUGAGUCCCAGCUUUUAUGCAGAGAUGAGCUAACUCUAGUACCAUGAGCUGCUGUGGCAUGUCUGGUGGCCUAGAUCCUUGGGCCUCUUAGUUUCCCUCAUGGCUCAGGUGAGCUCAUUUCCUCAUUGCCACCCACAGAAAACAAAGAUCUGAACAGAGCCCCUGCUAAGAGAUGGAGCACUAGAAAAUAGUGCUAGGUGCCUGCUGGAUGGUGGGUGGGUGAGGCAGGAGGGAGAGGAUCCAUAGCAGGGCUUCAUUUCUGCCGUCUUCCCCUUUAGGCUGAGCUGAAGGCCGAGGGUGUGCCAGUCUCUUCACUGGCUUCCCAGGUGACUGGACAUUACUGGGUAUCAGUGAACAUUAACCCUGGGGCAGCAUAAGAUGUGAUCACCCAACUAACUGACCUUCCCACUGCACCAAAGGCAACAAAAAUCCAAACCAAACAAACAAAAAAGAGGAACAAGGCUUUUGAGGCUGUUUUGAACCAGUUUUUGUCCCAGGCACUUUGCACAUAUUAUUCUUUUUAAUUCUUCUUUAAAUACAUUUUUAAUUUUAAGAUACUAAAUGUUUUACUCUUCUUGUUUAUGAUUUCUUCCAAUGAUAUCAAACUUAAAAUUCCUCUGCAUUCAAAGGACCCAAU